rnacentral:lncRNA from 1 species
CUCUUGCAGCCUAAGCUUGAAGUGACAUAUAGUCACAUUUAUCACAUUCUAUUAGCCAAAGCAAGCCACAUAGCAAGACUUGAUUCACAGUGGAAAAACAGACUCUACCCCAUGAUGAGCCAAGCUUCGAAGUCUCAAUGCAGGGGCUGUGGAUACAGAGAAAAGAUGGGUUAGAGUCAUCUCUUAUUACUCUCUUUCAACAUCAUACUGCAAGUCUUAGCUAGUGCAAUAAGUCAAGAAAAAGAAACAAAAGUCAUAUGGAUUGAAAAAGAAAAAAUAAAAACAAAAAACAUUGUUG